UGCCAGCAGCCGCGGUAAUACGGAGGGGGCUAGCGUUGUUCGGAAUUACUGGGCGUAAAGGGCGUGUAGGCGGUCUAUCGAGUCAGGCGUGAAAGCCCCGGGCUCAACCUGGGAACUGCAUUUGAAACUGUUUAACUAGAGUGUGGUAGAGGAGAGUGGAAUUUCAGGUGUAGCGGUGAAAUGCGUAGAGAUCUGAAGGAACACCAGUGGCGAAGGCGACUCUCUGGACCAACACUGACGCUGAGGUGCGAAAGCUUGGGUAGCAAACGGGAUUAGAUA
rnacentral:rRNA from 1 species